rnacentral:rRNA from 1 species
UUACACCCAAUUCCUAUUUCUUGUUAUCGGUGCCGUCCAUAACCAGCCGCCCCCCAUCCACGCAGGGGACUUUCUUUUUUAACCCGACUGGGCGGUGGAGCUCAUUCUUUUGUUUGUGGUGUCCCCGGCGUCACUUCAUACAGUAGGGCACCCUCAUCACAUGGUGUUUCAAGCGUUUUCAGCAAAUUCAAGCUAUUACACCACUAUACGAACUAAUCUACGAUGGAUGGCAAGAGGCUCAUCGAUUGCAUCUUUCUACGCUAUCCAAAUUUUUUCCGAGGUACUAGACGGAACAAGAACGCUGCCAUACUGAUUGGCGGUACGCGAGUUGGUCUAUCGUCCCCGCUGUUCAACGUGGUCAACCUGUUGCGUGUAAGCGAACCACUCGUGAUAGCCUUCAAGUAUCCGAGACCGACUCUGCCCGCCUACAUGACGCCUAUAGAGCCUCAAGUAGGGAAGUUCGACAACUCGCCUGGCGCCCUGGGUUCAGGUGCCGGUGCAGUGCGAACGGUGCCCAUCGCAGCGUUGGGUGCAAACCUAAACACGUGG